GAAUUGUGCUACUUGUUUGUGUGCUGGUUCUAACUGAAUUAUUAGCAAAUUUCUUAAAGGUGCUACAUGUGCGAUGGGAGCAUUUCUAUCGUCUCUGCACAGCUCUCAACAUGGCGACGGCUGAGCUGGCGGCUCGCAGCUAACGCAUACUUGCCAACCUUGAGACCUCAAAACUAGUGAGGAUCUCAAAACCAAAGCAGGGUGUCUGGGGGAGCUUCAUAGACUUUAU